AUUUGAGAUUGAAGGGAAUGAGGAAGACACAGUUAACUUCACAUCAGGCGAGCACACACAGAUUCGCAUACAUCCUUCACCUCCUCAAGAUGAACAUAAAAAAGAUGUAAUGGCAACUGUGGAGAUAGUUAACCUUAUGGAGCUGCCACCCAUUGUACUACUUGGUGAUUUAUUCACAACUGGAAGUAGAGACAUAUAUUAUCUACAUCCUCUCCUAGACCUGUGGAUGAAAAACCCGACCUCCCCAUGCCUCUCUUUCUGAACAGACCUCCCCACCCCUGCCCCCAG